GACGAACGCUGGCGGCGUGCUUAACACAUGCAAGUCGAGCGGUAAGGCCCUUUCGGGGGUACACGAGCGGCGAACGGGUGAGUAACACGUGGGUGACCUGCCCUCAGCUCUGGGAUAAGCCUGGGAAACCGGGUCUAAUACUGGAUAUGACUCCAUGACGCAUGUUGUGGGGUGGAAAGCCUUGUGCGGCUGAGGAUGGGCCCGCGGCCUAUCAGCUUGUUGGUGGGGUGANGGCCUACCAAGGCGACGACGGGUAGCCGGCCUGAGAGGGCGACCGGCC
rnacentral:rRNA from 1 species